rnacentral:rRNA from 1 species
CGAGACCUCAGGUCAGGCGGGGCUACCCGCUGUAGUUUAAGCAUAUCAUUAAGC